rnacentral:lncRNA from 1 species
GGGCUCUCCGGCGCCGGCCCUCCGAUGGCUAAGUCAGUCAAGGGUCUGUAUGAGGAAAGAAAGAGUGAGACAGAAAGAAGAACCCCCGCCUUAAGUGGAGGAAUUCCCCUUUUAUAGGGAGGAUCAGGCUACCUGUGAUGUGACAGAGCAAAUUGGUUGUCGUACAAUUGGUCAUCAAUGCUUGUUCAUGUAAGUCAAUGCUAUCAUGGUAGGAGAUUAGGCCGGAGCCUGUCG